GUAACACGUUGGAUCAUCUACCUUUUAGUGGGGAAUACCCCCGGGAAACUGGGGACAAUACCGCAUAAGCUCGUAAGAGGAAAGCAGCAAUGCGCUGAAAGAGGAGUCCGCGGCUGAUUAGCUUGUUGGCGGGGUAACGGCCCACCAAGGCGAAGAUCGGUAGCCGGCCUGAGAGGGCACACGGCACACUGGCACUGAAACACGGGCCAGACUCCUACGGGAGGCAGCAGUGGGGAAUCUUGCACAAUGGAGGAAACUCUGAUGCAGCGACGCCGCGUUGAGCGAUGAAGCCCUUCGGGGUGUAAAGCUCUUUCGACGGG
rnacentral:rRNA from 1 species